AAAUUGAAUGGUCGCGUAUGGCAAUGCCGAAAGGCAGCGUAUGAGGAAAGUCCGGGCCCCACAGAGCAAUGAUGCUGGAUAACGUCCAGUGAGGGAGACCUUAAGGAAAGUGCAACAGAAAAUAACCGCCAGAAAUGGUAAGGAUGAAAAGGCGAGGUAAGAGCUCACCGCUAGUAUGGUGACAUACUAGGCUGUGUAAACCCCAUCUGGAGCAACACCGAGACUAGAAGGAUAAGACUGCUCGUCAUCUUCUUAAUUUGGUGGCUUGAGACAUAUAGUAAUAUAUGUAGUAGAUAAAUGGCCAUUCUUGACAGAACCCGGCUUAUAGAUUUACUUUU
rnacentral:RNase_P_RNA from 1 species